AUGUCUUAUUUUCUAGAGUUUUGUAUAUCACCAUAUGAAUUUAGCAAAAGAAAGGGACGUAGAUAUUUUGCAAUAAUAAAUCGUUUCAUUAAGAAUAAAAAGAUUACACAUAAAUUAGAAUAGAGGGAGUAUGUGAGAUAUUCUAACAAACAUUAAUGAUUUAAUUUAACCAUCGAGCAAUUCAAUAGCCACACUUUGGAUGGAGAUCACAUCUCCACCCGUUUUAGGAACCACAGUUACCGUAAUGGUAUCGUCAUCUUCCAGUUCAAUGUCCUCUAACAGUUCAGUAAUGCCUAGCUGAAACAUCUCAUCAGAAUCCAUUUUCUGAUUAUGUGCAUGAACAUGAGGCAAGUUGACAUAGCUCCCCGCGAACUCCACCUUAUCAAGCUCAUCUGUAUUCAUAUCCUCAUCCUCGUUCAGGAACACAUCAAAUCUUAUAUAUUUGUUAGUAUCAUACUUUAAACCCUUGAAUAUUAGCACCUCUUCUUUUUCGUCUUUAUCCUUUUGACUCCUUGACGUAGUUGGCCUAUUGAUGGAAAACGAAAUGGGUUUGUUGAGGUUAGCAAUUGGGAAUACUUUGUUUGCUGGCUUGAUGUUUGUUACAACCACUUUUCCUUCUCUGCCCUUUCUUGUUGGCCUACAGUUGAUCCAUGGGAUGGCUGCUGGCGCGUAAUCAUAACCCAUCUUCUUCGUAUCCAAACAGUCUCCUACCCUCACACGGUAAGGGUUUUUGUUUUCAUCAUAGAAAAAGAAUUCGGAGUUCAACCAAUCUGGAUCUAUGAUAUCCCUUCUUUUCCCGCAUAGUCCUUUCCAUACUUUCCACAUUCGGUCCACAUUGGCGUGGUGGCAAUAGAAAACCGGGUCUAAAGCGGCUGAGUAGAAAUUACCCAUAUCUUCACCUAAUGACAGUUUACCACCACCCAAAUACGGACGUGUGGAUUACGUCUUGCAUCAUAAAGGGGAGUAUUUGCACGAUCGAACAUGGGAGGUAAACGCAUACCUUUUGGAUGGUCCCAAUUCCAAUAAGGUAAAGCGAAAGUUGGAUCAUCAAUGAGUUUUCCCAAUAUUCUGUCGUAGAAAAAUAAGUACCAUCUAUGGAACGGGAAGAAAAGCCAUGAUUGAUGAACUUGUAAAAUUUCAUCACCGAAUUUGUAAGCACCAUUGCAAUAAGCACAAUGGAUGUUGGCUUGUUGCAUGAAUGAACGAGGAUCGUCUUUGUCUAGUUCCUUCAUUCUUUUAGUUUCCAAUUGGUACUUUGCUAUAUAUUCCUUAGUCACGUCUUGAGCAACAGGACGUUUACGGAGCUUAGACAUGGGAGGAAGAUUGUAAUAUGGAAUGUUGUUCAAGUCCUUUGGUGUAGGAGGGCAACAACUAUAUUCUACUAGAUCUUUACUCCCCGUUUUCGUGGCUUUACUACAUGAUUUCAGAUUAGGCGGCGGUAUAGGAGAAGAAAAGGCUAAUGGUGCAAGAUUGGAAGCACUGUAGAGCCCUCCUAAACCAAGAAGCACAUUUCUCCUAUCGAUAUUUGCUUUAAUAUUUUGGUCGUGCUCAUUAGCAUUGCAUGAGACGUGGAAACUUUGACUACGCCUUCUCUUCAACAAAUGCGGAGAAUAAGGUUUUGCAAAGAAUGAUGAGAGUGUUGUAUGUUGAGCAUAGUGAGACUGAUGAGCUGUUAUAUGAGUUAGUCAGAUUAAACAGUAAAUGUCAUGAAGUUAGUUAGCUGUUAGUUACUAGUUAAACUGUGGUUAGUUUAUAAUUAACAAGAUUAGAUGGUUAAAGUAGAUCCAAUUAUACACACUAUAUAUAGUGGUGUAGAUAUUUUGUUAAAAGAUAAUUCUGUACAGAAUAUUCAAUACAUUUUCUGUUUCUCUUCUUCUUAAUCACUGUUCUUCACAUUCUUAUCAUGGUAUCAGAGCUUCAGAUCCAUUGACGAUCUCCGUUUUUCAGUACAGUAGAUAGCUUGUUGCAUUGUAAAAAAGGCAGAUCGUGGAAAAUCUUGAAAUUUUAGUUUUACAACAAUGGCAUCUAAUCCCAAUCCAGAAAUCACUUCCAGUUCUAUGCAAGGAGGACAAAUUGUAUUCGAUGCACAUCAUCCCUUACAUCUUCAAGCUUGCGACACUCUAGGUAGUUCUUUGGUUUCUAUUCAGUUGACUGUAUCUGAAAAUUACGCUUUGUGGAGUAGAUCAAUGAAAAUAGGUCUACUAGGUAAAGGUAAAUUGGGAUUUGUUAAUAGCAAAUGCUCUAAGAGUUCAUUUCCUGCUUCACUUCAUGAUCUAUGGGAUAAAUGUAAUGCCAUAGUACUCUAUUGGAUCAUGAUAUCUAUUAUAAGUAGGGAGUUACUUAGUGGUAUAGUGUAUGCUAGCAAUGUUCAGCAGGUGUGGAAUGAUCUAAAGGAAAGGUUCGACAAAGUAGAUGGUUCUAGAAUUUUUUUUCUUCACAAAGAGAUUGCUACUAUGACUCAAGGAGUAUUAUCAGUUUCUAGCUAUUACUCUAAGCUGAAGGAGCUUUGGAUGGAGUUUGAUUCCCUUAUGCCUUGUCCUAGUUGUGCAUGUGAAGUGUCUAAGACCUAUGUUGUUCAUUUCGAAUAUCAGAGGUUAAUGCAAUUUCUUCUAGGGUUGAAUGAAUCAUAUAAUCAGUGUAGAAGUCAAAUCAUGAUGAUUGAUCCUACACCAGGUGUGAACAAGGCUUACUCAUUAGUAAUGGCUGAAGAGUGUCAGAGAGUACUUGGUAAAUCGAAUAUAGUAGGGACUGAAGGCACUAACUCUAUUAAUUCUAGGCAAUUGACUGAAGCAAUGGCAUUUUUCAGUAAUGGAAAGGGGUUUACUAGAUCAUGAGGACCUACAAAUCAGUCUGGAGGGUCUACUCAGUCUGGAGGAUCCACUCAGUAUGGAUCAAGUUUUAGACCUCAGAAAUCUCUUAACAACAAUUUGUAUUGUGAUUAUUGCAACUGGAAGGGCCACACUAGAGCUGUGUGUUUUAGAUUGCAUGGGUACCUUGCUAACUGGAAAGGUAAGAAGAGGACUAACCCUGGUCCUAUCACUGCUGCCAACCUUGUAAGAGCAAAUUCUCCUAGCAAUGGUAAUGCUAGUUUCAUGGAUUUUCAGUCUAGUUCAGGGUUUCCUGGUCAAGUUUUUACUACUGGGAACAGUUCAGGCAACUAUCAGAUUCAUCAACCUCCUUCGUUAUUAGGAAGUACUUCCUACUCAAAUUCUUCCCCUGCUCUUAUGACUAACAUACAGCCCUACCAGUAUCAGACUACACAGUGGCCAUAUCUAGUGCAGCAGCCAUCUCCUCAUCAAUACUUGCAAAUGCCACUGGAACUUAAAAAAACUACCAGUAAUGCUGCUGGAAGAGCAUCAGGUAUGUUAAACUGUUCUAUUUAUCCAAAUGUUGUUGACAAAUGGAUAGUAGAUUCAGGAGCCUCCAAGCAUAUGGUCAAUGCUCUUCACUUGUUAACUUACUCUAUUACUCUUCAUGAUUCCCUUGAGGGUAAAGUACACUUACCUACUGGUAGUUUAGCUAAGGUCAGUCAUAUUGGUUGUUCUCAGAUACUUGGAGGGAUUGAGAUCACCAAUGUACUGUAUGUUCCUGAGUUCAAGUAUAACUUGCUCUUUGUGCCAAAGUUAACUAAGGAGUUGAAUUGCUGUGUUCUUUUCUAUCCUGAUCACUGUGUAUUUCAGGAUCUCUCCAGUGGAAAGGUGAGGGGGAUUGGCAAGUUGGAGAAUGAUUUGUAUGUUCUUCAGGCUGAUUGUCAAUUGAAGUCACCAGCAACAGUUUCUUUGUCAUCAGCUUAUGCAGUUUCCACUCCUACAUCAUGUGUCUCAUCACCUCCUAUAGCUCUUGUUAACAAGAAUGUCUCUCUAUGGCAUAAAAGGCUGGGCCAUGUUCCAUUUACUACUCUUAAAAUGCUUGGAUGUUUCAAAUCAUUGUCGUCCAAGUCUGAUACACUUUGUACUGUAUGUCCUUUAGCUAAACAAUCAAGACUUUCUUUUCCAUUGAGCAGUAUCACAACUACUACUUGUUUUCAUACUUUACAUGCUAUGGGGUCCUUAUAGAGUGCCUACUCAUGAUCAUAAAAGUUAUUUUCUCACGAUUGUGGAUGAUUGUUCCCGAUAUAAUUGGUUAUUUUUGUUAAAUUCCAAGUCUGAAGUAAUUGUAGAGCUUAGAAAUUUUCUUGCAAUGAUCAGGAAUGUAUUUUCUGCCAGUAUAAAGAUUUUAAGGACUAAUAAUGGGUGUGAGUUUUUUAACUCGCAAGUGGCUUCUUUACUCCAGUCACUAGGUAUUCUUCACCAAAGUUCUUGUAUCUACACUCCACAACAAAAUGGAGUCGUCGAACGAAAGCAUAGACAUAUUUUAGACACAGCCAGAGCACUGAGAUUUCAGGCUAGUUUGCCACUCAGAUUCUGGGGAGAAUGUGUUCUUACCAGUGUAUAUCUCAUCAACAGAAUUCCCUCUCAAGUUCUUAAAGGGAAGACUCCGUAUGAUGUUUUAUUUCAAUCAUCACCACCCCUUGAUAACUUAAGGGUGUUUGGAUGCCUUGCUUUUGCUAUAGAAGUCAGAAAAGUGAAUAAAUUUGCCUCCAGAGCAGCUCCUGCUGUUUUUCUUGGUUAUUCAGCAUUGCAAAAGGGAUACAUAUUAUAUGCCCUGCACACUAAGGAGUUUUUCGUGAGUAGAGAUGUGGUGUUUAAGGAGGAUAUCUUCCCAUUUCAGUCUAUGCAUUUAGAUAUAUCUCCCCUAUUUCCUGUUUUGCAGUCUAUUGAGUUGUGUGACUCAACUCCUUUAUGCUUUCAUGUUGCUCCUACUGUAACUGAUAGAAGUUCCUCUGGUAUUACUCUUGCAUCUGAGCAUGCUGAACAUGCUCCUGUAGCUCUUACUGAUGAGCCAGCUCAAGUUCUAGUUCCUUCUAUUGCUGAUCCUUCUAUUUCCCCUACUGCAUCUCUUCCUAGUAGGAGAUCUUCUAGAAACAUCAAACCACCUUUUUGGAUGCAUGACUUUAUUACUACUCAGCCUAAGUCUAAAUGCUUGUAUCCAAUGUCAAAUCAUGUUAGUUAUGCCCAUCUUUCUGGUGUCUAUGGAGAAGCUUUAGCUGCUUAUUCUAGUAUUAUUGAACCUACUUCCUUUGCUGAGGCUGCUGGUCAUCCUAAAUGGGUAGAGGCUAUGAGAUCAGAAAUUGCAGCAUUAGAAGAUAACCACACUUGGAGUCUUACUGAGUUACCUCCAGGGAACCAACCUAUUGGAUGCAAGUGGGUCUUUAAAGUUAAAUAUCUCACCUCAGGUGCUGUUGAAAGGUAUAAGGCCCGACUGGUUGCAAAGGGUUUUAGUCAAAAAGAGGGCUUAGAUUACUCAGAGACUUUUUCUCCUGUUGCCAAAAUGGUUACCGUAAGAUCAGUCUUGGCUGUGGCUGCUGCCAGACAUUGGUCUGUGUUUCAAAUGGAUGUGCACAAUGCAUUUUUGCAGGGUGAUCUUCCUGAGGAUGUCUAUAUGGUUAUACCACCUGGUUUUUGCAGACAGAGGGCGACUGGCAAAGUCUGCAAACUUCACAAAUCCUUAUAUGGUCUAAAACAGGCACCAAGACAAUGGAAUCUUAAACUAACUGAAGCUUUAGUUCAGUUGGGAUUUGUUCAAAGCCAUUAUGAUUAUUCCCUUUUUACCAAGAAAGUAAAUAAGGAGUUGAUAGUGGUGCUUGUGUAUGUAGAUGAUCUACUUGUGACUGGCAGCUGUAGUAACUUGAUUGUGCAGACUAGAAAUGAUCUUAAACUCAAGUUCAAAAUGAAGGAUCUGGGAGAACUAAAAUUCUUCCUUGGUAUUGAAUUUGCUAGGUCUAAGGAGGGGUAUGUAAUGAGCCAGCGCAAGUAUGCCUUGGAGUUGAUAUCUGAGAUGGGUUUAAGUGGAGCCAAACCAGUGUCUACACCUCUGGAUCCUAAUCUUAAGCUAACAUCCAUUGAGUAUGAUUUACACGUGCAAGGAUCAGGAACUACUAUAUCAGACAGGCCCUUAAAGGAUGUUGGCAGAUACCAAAGAUUAGUGGGAAGGUUGUUGUACUUAACUAUGACCAGAGUUGAUAUCUCAUUUGCAGUACAGACAUUAAGUAAAUUUAUGCAUGCUCCUAAAGAAUCCCAUAUGGAAGCUGCUCUAAGGGUGGUCAAAUAUAUCAAGACAGCUCCUGGACUUGGUUUGUUUAUGCCUGCUCAAAGUUCAGAACUUCUGACUGUAUAUUGUGAUUCAGACUGGGGUACUUGUGUAUAAACAAGAAAGUCUGUAACUGGAUAUUUAGUAAAAUUUGGAGAUGCACUUAUCACCUGGAAAUCAAAAAAGCAAGAGACUGUUGCCAGAAGCUCUGUUGAAGCUGAGUUCAGGAGUAUGGCUUCAGCAGUUGCAGAAAUAACUUGGCUAAUUGGAGUGUACAAGGAACUAGGGGUGACUAUCAAACAACCAGUGGAUCUAUUCUGUGACAGCAAGGCUGCAAUACAAAUUGCAGCCAAUCCCAUUUUUCAUGAAAGAACUAAACACUUUGACAUUGAUUGUUACUUUGUCAGAGAAAAACUAACUCAGGGUAUGAUUAAGACUCAUCAUGUAUCCACCAGAGAUCAGUUAGCAGAUCUUCUUACAAAAGGGUUAUGGAAGGCUCCUCAUCUGCACUUAAUGGCCAAGCUGAGUUUAAAAGACAUCUUUCAGCCAUCAGCUUGAGGAGGGGUGUUGAGCAUAGUGAGACUGAGGAACUGUUAUAUGAGUUAGUUAGGAUGAACAGUAAAUGUCAUGAAGUUAGUUAGCUGUUAGUUACUAGUUAAACUGUGGUUAGUUUAUAAUUAACUAGACUAGAUGGUUAAAGUAGAUCCAAUUAUACACACUAUAUAUAGUGGUGUAGAUAUUUUGUAAAAGAUAAUUCUGUACAGAAUAUUCAAUACAUUUUCUGUUUCUCUUCUUCUUAAUCACUGCUCUUCACAUUCUUAUCAUUGUAGUAGUGAGAGUUUUGCUACUCUGGUCAUCAAGACUUAAACAGAUAGAAUUAAUGGAAGAUGAAGAAGCCAUUGAGUGAUUGUUGUGAUUCGUAUCAUCUAUUAAAUAAAAGUGAAUAAAAUAAUCAUAAAGUUACAUAAAAACAAAAAAACAAAAGCUAUUGCAUUUCUGACCUUACGUGUCCACAUAAGACAUGACAGUAUGCUAAAAUAUAAUGUCACCAACAAAAAAGAUAAACAAGAAAGAUAAUGAAAACCCAUAAAAUAAGUACUACUAAUAAGAGAUAAUAAAAAUGAACAAGGAUUAUGUGGAUUUUAUUUUUACUGAAUGGUUAUGAAUUAUAAUUCUGUAAAGACUUAAUUGUAUCCUCAAAGAAAUUGUAAGUGUUAUAAAUUGUAAUAUUGUAAAUAUCUAUCUUGUAUGUUGCUUUGAGAAAAGUUUGAGACUAAAUGAAGGAACAUUUUAGAAAUAUAUUAUUAUCUAACUUCUUUUGCAAAUGUAUAGCUCAAAACUUACAUUAUAAAUAUUUAGCCCAAAACACAAUUCGGUAUAUAAUAUUAUAUAUUUAGUAUACUUUAAUAUACAAAUUUAUAUUUUAUUUUUUACAAAACUAUUUAAAAACUUGAUUUACACUAUUAUACACUCAAUAUAUAAUAUUAUACAAAAUCAUAAGAGAUAUUUGUACAUCCAUAUACAAUAAUAUAUCACAAAAUAUAAAAUUAUAAGAGAUAUUUAUACACUCAUAUAAAAUAAUAUAUGUUAUCAUGUAAAAUACGAAUUUCGUCUUUUUUCUUGAAUCCAAGCAUUUGAUUCAUCCAAAAGCACCUCUAAACUACAUCAAAUCAUCCAAAAUUUCAUUUUAGGCUCCUCAAUACACAUUCAAUCUUUUGCAACAAUAUCCACUCGAAUUGGAGCUUAUUUGCGAAAAUUCAAUUUUCAAAUUUUGAAGCUUCGAUUUUCAACAUUAGAUGUCUGUGCCUCCAACGAAAUGUCAAUUCUCCUUAAUAGUAACUCCCAUAACGGAGAUAAAAUAAAGAUUUAAUUUAAAAUUUCUCUAAGACUAGGUACCAUUAUCAAUCACUCAGUUAUACACAUAUAUGAGACAUUCAUUUCACUCCAAAAAAAGCAAAACAAACAAAUCUGUUAUUUACUGUCACCAUAGUUGAGAGAGAGAGAGAGAGAGUGUUUUGGGUGUGCAGGGAAGAGAGAUAUUGUUAGGUUAGUGGCUAAAUUUGGGUAAGUUUAAAUAGCUUGUCUAUUUUGACAAUGUAUUUGGAAUUUGGAUCAAUGGUACUUUGAAGUAAUUCUCUCUAUAAAUAAAGAAAUUUUCUUUUAUUAUAAUCAAUCUUCAAGAAAAAAUAAGAAGUGUUGUUUCUUCUCGCUACUAUAUUCUUUUUCUUCUUUUUAUUUUAUAGUUUUAUAACAUAUUGUCAAUAUAAAUCUCAUAAACUAAAGUUGAUUUUAAUUUUAUAAAGGGAAAAGGGUCUGAUAUAUCCCUCGUUAUAAAAGUGGCUUAUAUAUAUCCUUAUCAUUAUACAAAUGACUCACAUAUAUCCCUACCGUUACAAAAGGAGUUCACAUAUACCCUUUAUCUAACAGAAGUGAAAAAAUUAGUUUUAAAUUUAUAUUUUUACUCUUACUUUUAAAAAAAUCAUGUAGGGUGUUCAAGGUAUAUUUUCAUCCUUUUCAUACAUAAAUUAUUUUUUGACUUCUUCGAUUAUCAUUAUUUGAGUUUCUUGUUCUUAUUUUAUUUUUUUCUUUCAUUUUUGGCUAUAUUAUAAUUUUAAACUAUUUUUUUCCGGUUAUAUUGUAAUUUAGUUUUUGUAUUUAUAUAUAAAAAAAAGAGGCAUCUACGAUAGAUUUUUACAAGAAAAUUAGUGAAACAUAAAUAAAUAUAACCACCAAAAUAAUAAAUUUAAAUUAGUCGUUAAAACAAAAAAAAAGUCAAAAAAAUAAGGUGCGAGGAUGAUUAAAUAUGCCCCAUAUGGAUUACAUAUAUAUUUUUUAAAAAUAAUUAAAAAAUUAAAUUAAAAUUAUCUUUUUCACUUCCGUUAGAGGAAAAAGAUAUAUGUGAGUCAUUUGUAUAACAGUAGAAGUAUAUAUGAGCCACUUUCAUAACACAAGAUAUAUCAGCGCUCUAAAUAACAAAAUUGAAAGAUAUAUCAGACUUUUUUUUCCUUUUAUCAAUCAUCAAAACACAAAUCACAUGUGAUACAAACAUGACUGGGAUAAAUAAUUAUCUUCCGUGCAAUAAAACAGAUGCUUUGAAUUAUUAUUUUUUACUCCAAUAAAUAGUACUACUAUAUUUUAUCUAGUUUUUAAAUACAUUUUCGAUUCAAUUUAUUUAUCUUAGUCAUUGUGUAUAUAUAUUUAGAAAUUGCAAGCAUAUUUUCAAUGUUAUAACAUUUUUAAAUACUUUCUAAAUAUUUUAGAUUGUUAAUCAUGGUAAGUUGUAACAUAUAAUAAUUUUAUCUAAUUUUAAAGUAUACAAAAAAUAGAAAAUUAUAUACCAAUUUUAUACCAAACAUUAGUUAAUGUGACCGUUGUCUCUCUCAAAAUAUCUCUACGGGCCUCGCCCACCUACCACCACACAUCUUAAUUUUUGAGUUUGGACCUUUUUGGCAGAUAAAAAUCAUAUUCAUUUUCCACUUUAAAACACACACAGACACAAAUAAUAAAUAAAGAAAACCUAUUGAAUUUUAUUUUUUUGUAGGAUUUAGGUUUACUGGUGAGAUCGAUUGAUUUGGUUCGCUUUUAUGUAGAAUUGGUUAAGUUUAUUAAUUUUAAAUUUAUAAAUAUGUUAAAUUGAUAAUCAUAUUAAUUAUCAAUUUUCAGUCAAUCCAUUUCGAAUCUAAAUAUACAAAUUAAUGUUCUAUUUAACUCACCCUCCUCUAAUUUGUUUUACAUUUUUAUUUUUAUGAAAUAAAUGUCAAAAACACACCUACACUAUCCCCUUUUUUUUAUUUUCAUACCCAAACUAUUGGAAGUGUGAGUUUCAUACUUAAACUAUCACUUAUUAGUUCGAGAAACACAUCUCAAUGGUGUGUGUAAUACACUCUCUUUUAUUUGAAAAAACCUUAACACAUGACAUGCCACAUGGAUAAAAUAUUUCACAUUGACUAAAAUUAAAUAAUAAACUAUUAAUAUUAAUUAAAAAUUAAAGAUUAAAGUACUACUAUCCCAAAAAAUAUAAUUUUUUUAAAAAUAAAAUUUAAAUUAUUUUUCUUAUCCCACUCCACUACCUCCUCCCCGUACCCCAAUAAUCCCCCAUCCANNNNNNNNNNNNNNNNNNNNNNNNNNNNNNNNNNNNNAGUUUAUACCCAAACUAUUGGAAGUGUGAGUUUCAUACUUAAACUAUCACUUAUUAGUUCGAGAAACACAUCUCAAUGGUGUGUGUAAUACACUCUCUUUUAUUUGAAAAAACCUUAACACAUGACAUGCCACAUGGAUAAAAUAUUUCACAUUGACUAAAAUUAAAUAAUAAACUAUUAAUAUUAAUUAAAAAUUAAAGAUUAAAGUACUACUAUCCCAAAAAAUAUAAUUUUUUUAAAAAUAAAAUUUAAAUUAUAAAAUUGGUAUUAUUUUAUUUUUAAAAAAAAAAAAUUCUACCUCAUCAUAUUAACCCUCUGUUCUUACUUUAUUUAUUUAUCUUAAAUUUUUCUCGUUUUGUGUUACAUAUGUAUAUAUAUAUUUUUAGGAUUUUUUUCUACUUGUGUACCGAAUAUAACAUAAAUAAAAAUUUUAUUUUAAAAAAAGUCUUGUGACGGCAAAUAAAAAAUAUUUUUGAUAUGUAUAUCUAACACAAAACGAGAAAAUUUUUUGGAAGCGGAGGGUUAUGUGGAGUGGGUAGAGUUAUUAUUAUUAUUUUUUAAAAUAAUAUCUAAAUUAGUAUUUGUGGGGGGGGAGGGGGGGGUCGGACGGUUAGAGGAAGUGAUGGAGUGGAUAAGAAAAAUAUUUUACAUUUUAUUUUAUAAAUUUUUUUUUUUUUUGGAUAAUAAUUUUUUAAUCUUUCAUUUUAACUAAUAUCAUUAAUUUAUUUAUUUUUUGUCAAGGCGAAAUGUUUUGUCAUCUGGAGUGUGAUGUGACAAUUUUUUUUAAAUAAAAGAGAGUGUAUUACAUACACCAUGAUGAGAGUGGUAUAAAAGAGAGAGAUGUGUUUCUCAAACUAAUAGGUAAUAGUUUAGGUAUGAAAUUCACACUCUCAAAAAUUUAGGUAUGAAACUAAAAAAAAGGAGAUAGUUUAGGUGUGUUUUUGACGCUUAUCUUUAUUUUUAUUCAUAUAUACACUACCUUCAUGCGUAAAGCUGUCAAAAAGGGCCGGCCCAGCCCAGCACCCAGUCCAAGCCUCGCGAGCCAGGGAAUUUGUAGGGGUAAUGAGGGCCGGUCCAGCCCAAGCCUCGCGGGCCAAGGAAAUUGAAGGGCUAGUGCGGGCCGAGGGCAAUGGCAGGCUAGCCAUUCUUUUUUUUCACUUUUUUCUUUUCAAACUUAUGUUCUAUAACAUCAAAAAAAUGAGAAGAUUUUCAAAUCAAAUAUGGCAAACUAUGGUGUUGUCUCAAUAACACUAACGAAAAAUCUAGUGUAAUUAGCAUAUAUCUCUCAUACCAAAUACUCGAGCGAGAUAAGAAAGUGACAAGCAAGAUGGGAGGGAGGCAAGGGCACGAGAUUUGUCUAUGUAUCCUAGAUACAUGCGAAUCUACUUGGAUAGAGUAUAUCUAGAACAAAUUAACCUAGUUUUGAGUCUAUAUAUUCCGAGAUACAUGUAUUUGGACGUACCAAUCUAGUAAGAUUUAUAAUAUUACAACAUAAGUAUAUUUAAGUAAUUAGAUUAUAUAUUAGUGAGAUUAUUGUAAAUUACCUUUAAAUAAAAAGUUUUGGCCCAUGGACCGACUCCGCCACGAUCCCGAUUAAGCCUCAAGGGAAAAGGGCUUAUAUGGGCCGGGCUUAUAAGCCCUAGUUUUAAAUAGGCUUGAAAAAUUAUAUUCCAACCCUACCCCAAUAACGGGUUGGAUUGGACCGGCCCCAUGGGCUAAACCCAUUUUGACGGCUCUAUUCCUGCGUAAAAGUGUGCAUAAUUACAAGUAAAAAUAAAUUCAAAUUCGUUAAUGCUAAAGUAAAUUAGUUUUCUUAAUUUCUUGUUAAGUAGCACCGUAUCAAUUUAUCAAAAUGAAAAAUAACACACCAAACAAAUGAAUUUAGAAAGAAGACAAUAACACCAAGUCAACAACUAUAAAAAUCCAAAAGAAAAUAGGAUCUGCAUUUAAAAUUUAAAGUCAUUAUUAUAUAGUUAAGGAUACAAACAUAAUUUUAAUAUAAUCUUAUUGAAUUAUGGAUUUAUCAUUAACAAAAAUUUUAAACUGAAAAUUGAAUUAGUAACCUAACCAAAAAAAUACAAAACCAUUUCAAAACUAUUUAACUCAAUAUCGAUAAAUUAAUAAUAUUACAGUUUUAACGGAUUAUUGCGUUAUGCAUUAUUAAAAACUAAAGCCGAAAUAACUGGACAAUUUAUUAUUAUUUUUAUAAAACUAUUUAAAAUUCGUUAAAUAAUAACAAUGAUUCAAUAACAUUUCUUUUUAUUCAAUUUGUUGAUCGGCUUAGGUCCCCCACCACCAACAUGAAUGUGAUUUCAUGUUUUGUCCAUUCUUUCUGUCCGCAUUUACUUUUUUCGCAUUUAUUACUCCCUCAUAUAAAAAAGUGACUUUUAGUGAUAAUUAAUUUUUCUUUUAGCGGUAAUAUUUAUUGCUAUAAAUACAUUUAUCAGUAUUUGAUUAAAUGUCAUUGGACUCAAUGUCGUUAAAGUCUUUAGGGUUUAGAGUUUAGGAUUUAGGGUAAAGACCCUUAUUAUUGCCACUAAAAGUAAUUACUUUUAGUGACAUUUAUUUAGCGGCCUAUACUAUUGCCAUUAAAGCUACCUUAGAUAUAUAGAGAAUUUCACAUCGUUUUUUCAAGCUAAAUAUAGAAGAAAACAAAAUCUGCUAUAUAUAUAUAGAGAGAUUUUUUUAGCUAUGUUUUCCUCAAAGCUAUACGAAGCUAAUUAAAUCAAACUCAAGUUUAUCUUGCUGGGUGCUUACCAAUGAGAAUGAGAGAUUGAGAGAUCGAGAAAGAGAGAUCGAGCGGAAAGAAAGAAAAAGAGAAAUUACCUCUUGUUGCGUGCUUCAGAUCGAGCAUGAAGAAACACAAAUCGAUUUGUGCUUCAAAUCAAAUCCAUCAUAGCCAUGGAAGGAAGCUUCAAAUCAAUCCAGAGCUUCAGAUGAAAACACGGCGUGUUUUUACUUUUAAUAGAUCAAAAGAAAAACAUAAAAAAAAAUCAUAUUUUAUCCUUAAUAUUAAUUAAUUGCUUAUUCCUUAAAUUAUUUCUUAAGAUUAUAUAUAUAUAUAUUCAAAAAAUAAAUAUUACUAAAGAGAAACAACACGAAUAAACUCGAUCUAUUUUGUUUUUCAAUGUUGCGUGAUAUUUCUAAGAUGACAAGUAACAAUUAUCAGUUGUGUGACCAUUAUUGUACUGUGGAUGGAACUGUUCAUUUCUCAAUUAAUUAAAAGUUUUUAGUUUUGAGUAUGUAAAAAUCUCCGAAUAGAGGUUAUGCCGUGCGGAUCCAAAUUAGUCAGCUCGGAUGAAAAAAAAUAAUAAUAAAUCAGUUGCGGCUUUCACGUUUGUACUAGGCCAAUAGCAUGAAUUUUCUACAUAAAUAGUGAUGAAACGCUGCACAGCAAAAACACUCAUCCCAACAAUGGCUUCUUCUAUUCUACCUUUGUGCACUACCAAUAUUCCCUCUUGUUUCUUAGCAAAACCCUCUCAGCUUUUCCUCCACGGAAGGCGUAGUCAAAGUUUCAACGUCUCAUGCAACGCUAAUAACAACUCUAGCGAGCAUGACAAAAAUAACCUUGAUGACGAUGUUGUUGAUAGGAGAAAUGUUCUUUUAGGGUUAGGAGGUCUUUAUGGUGAUGCUAAUCUUGCACCAUUAUCCACUGCUGCUCCCUCACCACCACCUGAUUGUAAAACUUGUAGUACAGCCACUAUAACUAAUGGUCCAGUUCCUUAUAGUUGUUGCCACCCUCCUAUCCCCGUAGAUAUGAGCACCCUUCCAUAUUACAAAUUCCCUCCUAUGAACAAGCUCCGUAUCCGUUCUCAUCUUCCUGAUGAGGAGUAUAUUGCCAAGUACAAUUUGGCAAUUACUCGAAUGAAAGAUCUUGAUAAGACAACCUUUAAACCCUCUUGGGUUUAAGCAACAAGCUAAUAUACAUUGUGCUUAUUGUAACGGUGCUUAUAAAAUUGGUGGCAAAAAGUUACAAGUUCAUAAUUCAUGGCUUCGUCAAGGACUCAAGUUUAUUAUCUUUCUCCACUUGAGUCCUUAACUGAGGUACAACGUAAUUAUUAACAUAAAUAUAAGGAAAAAAGAACGAGUGCUAAGAAUGAUUGCUAACAAGUUUAUGUUAAAGGAAAUGAGCACCCACAACCUUUAAAUCCUGGAUCCGCCACUGAGUUUUAACUCCGAAUGUUGUACUUGUUUUGACUUUUUCUAUUCUUAAUUAGUUUAGGCUGACUAACUUUUUCUUUCUUUUUUAUUUUUAACUUUUCCUAUGCUAAAGUAUUGGUCAAGUCAGAUAUGCAUCAAACUUGACCACUUGUUUAUUUGCUUAUCAAGUUGUUUACACUAUGUGAUUGCUAACAGGUUUAUGUUAAAGGUUUACACUAUGUGAUUGCUUAACAGGUUUAUGUUAAAGGAAAUGAGCACCCACAACCUUUAAAUCCUGAAUCCGCCACUGAGCUUUUACUCCGAAUGUUGUACUUGUGAAGCCAUGAAUUAUGAACUUGUAACUUUUUGCCACCAAUUUUAUAAGCACUGUUACAAUAAGCACAAUGUAUAUUAGCUUGUUGCUUAAACCCAAGAGGGUUUAAAGGUUGUCAUAUCAAGAUCUUUCAUUCGAGUAAUUGCCAAAUUGUACUUGGCAAUAUACUCCUCAUCAGGAAGAUGAGAACGGAUACGGAGCUUGUUCAUAGGAGGGAAUUUGUAAUAUGGAAGGGUGCUCAUAUCUACGGGGAUAGGAGGGUGGCAACAACUAUAAGGAACUGGACCAUUAGUUAUAGUGGUUGUACUACAAGUUUUACAAUCAGGUGGUGGUGAGGGAGCAGCAGUGGAUAAUGGUGUAAGAUUAGCAGCACCAUAAAGACCUCCUAACCCUAAAAGAACAUUUCUCCUAUCAACAACAUCGUCAUCAAGGAUAUUUUUGUCAUGCUCGCUAGAGUUGUUAUUAGCGUUGCAUGAGACGUUGAAACUUUGACUACGCCUUCCGUGGAGGAAAAGCUGAGAGGGUUUUGCUAAGAAACAAGAGGGAAUAUUGGUAGUGCACAAAGGUAGAAUAGAAGAAGCCAUUGUUGGGAUGAGUGUUUUUGCUGUGCAGCAUUUCAACAAUAUUUAUGUAGAAAAUGCAUGGUACUGGCCUAGUACAAACGUGAAAGACGCAACUGAUUUUUUAUUAUUUUUUUUUAUCCGAGCUGACUAAUUUGGCAUAACCUCUAUUCGGAGAUUUUUUCAUACUCAAAACUAAAAACUUUUAAUUAAUUGAGAAAUGAACAGUCCCAUCCACAAUACCAUAAUGGUCACGCAACUGAUAAUUGUUACUUGUCAUCUUAGAAAUAUCACGCAACAUUGAAAAACAAAAUAGAUCGAGUAUAUUCGUGUUGUUUCUCUUUAGUAAUAUUUAUUUUUUGAAUAUAUAUAUAUAUAAUCUUAAGAAAUAAUUUAAGGAAUAAGCAAUUAAUAUUAAGGAUAAAAUAUGAUUCUUUUUUUUAUGUUUUUCUUUUGAUCUAUUAAAAGUAAAAACACGCCGUGUUUUCAUCUGAAGCUCUGGAUUGAUUUGAAGCUUCCUUCCAUGGCUAUGAUGGAUUUGAUUUGAAGCACAAAUCGAUUUGUGUUUCUUCAUGCUCGAUCUGAAGCACACAACAAGAGGUAAUUUCUCUUUUUCUUUCUUUCCACUCGGUCUCUCUUUCUCGAUCUCUCAAUCUCUCAUUCUCAUUGGUAAGCACCCAGCAAGAUAAACUUGAGUUUGAUUUAAUUAGCUUCAUAUAGCUUUGAGGAUAAUAUAGCUAAAAAAAAUCUCUCUAUUUAUAGCAGAUUUUGUUUUCUUCUAUAUUUAGCUUGAAAAACGAUGUGAAUUCUCUAUAUAUCUAAGGUAGCUUUAAUGGCAAUAGUAUAGGCCGCUAAAUAAAUGUCACUAAAAGUAAUUAUUUUUAGAGGCAAUAAUAAGGGUCUUUACCGGCAUUCGAUAUAAAUGUUACUAAAGGCUUUAACGAUAUUGAAUCCAGUGACAUUUAAUCAAAUACUGGUAAAUGUAUUUAUAGCAAUAAAUAUUAUUGCUAAAAGAAAAAUUAAUUAUCACUAAAGGUCACUUUUGAUGCGGGGAGUAAUAAAAGCGAAAAAAGUAAAUGCGGACAGAAAGAAUGGACAAAACAUGAAAUCACAUUUAUGUUGGUGGUGGGGGACCUAAGCCAAUCAACAAAUUGAAUAAAAAGAAAUAUUAUUGAAUCAUUGUUAUUAUUUAACGAAUUUUUAAUAGUUUUAUAAAAAUAAUAAUAAAUUGUCCAGUUAUUUCGGCUUUAGUUUUUAAUAAUGGAUAAAGCAAUAAUCCGUUAAAACUGUAAUAUUAUUAAUUUAUCGAUAUUGAGUUAAAUAGUUUUGAAAUGGUUUUGUAUUUUUUUUGUUGGGUUACUAAUUCAAUUUGUUGGGUUUUAAAGGUGUGAACAGGAAAUGAAGGGUUAUGACUCUCCUGAAGAGUUGUAAACUUUAUGAAAGGUUGUGUCCUUUCUAAAGGACUGUGACCGUUUGAAAGGUUAUGCCUUUUCCAAAGUGUUGUGACCUUUCUGAAAGGUUGUCUUCUUUCUGAAAGGUNNNNNNNNNNNNNNNNNNNNNNNNNNNNNNNNNNNNNNNNNNNNNNNNNNNNNNNNNNNNNNNNNNNNNNNNNNNNNNNNNNNNNNNNNNNNNNNNNNNNNNNNNNNNNNNNNNNNNUUCUUUUGCAUACAUUUCUUACAAAACAAAAUCGAUCGAUCGUGUCUGUGUGUGUGAUUCGUUGCUGUCAUUUUGAGUUCGUUGAAAUUAUCGAAGUUUGAGGUACCGCUACUUCUUUAAUGGUUAAUCCGUUUUAUCUUGGGAGGAAUUAAUCUGCAACCUCGGGUGUUUGAGGGGAUUAAAUUUCUUAAGGACACACAGUGGGUUCUGUGGACUCGGAUAGUUCUUUGUGUUUUUCCUUUCAUCUUUUAUUAUUUCUGGUUUGCUAAUCUGAAUAAAGGAGAUAACACAAUUUUCAGUUUUAAAAUUUUAGUUAAUGAUAAAUCCAUAAUUCAAUAAGAUUAUAUUAAAAUUAUGUUUGUAUCCUUAACUAUAUAAUAAUGACUUUAAAUUUUAAAUGCAGAUCCUAUUUUCUUUUGCAUUUUAUAGUUGUUGACUUGGUGUUAUUGUCUUCUUUCUAAAUUCAUUUGUUUGGUGUGUUAUUUUUCAUUUUGAUAAAUUGAUACGGUGCUACUUAACAAGAAAUUAAGAAAACUAAUUCACUUUAGCGUUAACGAAUUUGAAUUUAUUUUUACUUGUAAUUAUGCACACUUUUAUGGAGGAAUAGAGCCGUCAAAAUGGGCUUAGCCUAUGGGGCCGGCCCAAUCCUACCAGUUAUUGGGGUAGGGUUGGGUAGGUAAUGUGAUAAAAUACUUACAUCAAUAAUUAUUUGUUUAAUGGAAUUGUCAUAUCAAACAGUGACCAGGGGCGGAGCUAGGUGGAGUUCAUGGGUUCGGACGAACCCACUAGCUUUUUCGUAGACCUAUAUUUGUAUUAGAAAAUUAAAUAAACAUAUGUAUAUUAACUUGUGAACCCCCAAACAAAUUGAUUUAGAACCCCAAACUCCUAACAUUGGCUCUGUCUCUGACAGUGAAGUAAAAAUGAAGAAAGGAAACAUUUAGGUAUUCACAUUCUUUUCAAACAAGUUUCUCUAAAUGACAAAAAUCACGAGCAUUACCUUUAUGUUGUCCUUGCGUUGAUGGCAAGUCCCACACACAAGGGACCAGAUCAAAGAAGUAAACACAUACUUUCUUUCCAGAAAAAAGUUUUGAAAAUAUUUCUAAAUUUAGCAUGAAUUAUUAGUUUCAUCUUUAAAUUAUAGUUAGGCUUAAAAAUGUUUCUUUACUUGACUAACUGAAUUUAAGUACAUCAUCGAUCUUGCAGUAUGAGUGAAAUACACCUCUAAAUUCUCACCAAGUUUAGGGAUGUUGUCAAUGCUUCUCUCGAUUUUUUAUUAAGAGUCUUAUGCUCUUACAUGAGUUUAGGACUAUUUGCUAUGUCAUGUUGCCAAUCGAGAGUGUAUAUAAGUUUAAUUAGUCAAACAAAAGAAUAUUUUUAAGACUAUCAAUAAUUUCAUGAAUAAAACUAAUGAUUUACGCCAAGCUCAAGAUGUUUUCGAUAGUUCAAUACUUUUGUCCUUGAGUUGAUUGCGAAGAAGGUAGUCUAGGACUACCCUAAGCCUAGAAGAGAAGUAGGCAGGACUUUCAGUUACAAUAAUGUCUAGGUUGGGCAAGCCUCAAAGGCGGCCCCUUUCUUUCCUCGGACCGAUGACUCGCUUGUUCAGUACUGCUAACUAUUAUAGGAGGUCCCACACACAAGGAACCAGAUCAAAGAAGUACACACAUAGUUUCUCACGACCAUAAAAUUGAAUAAAACGAGUAUUGAACUAUGAGUCCUUAAAUAAAGGUUUUAUCAACUCCAAGGUAAUGUAUUGCAAAUACAUGGCUGACCUUUUAUCAAGUAGAAUUAAUUUUUAAUUUUAGAUUACUAUAUGAGGUUAAAUAAAGGUUUUAUUAUGUCAUCUAAAAAUACUAUAUUCAAAGCAAUAAGUACAUAAAAAAAAUAUAACUCUAAUUUAUUUAUUUUUUAGUGGAUGUGUAUAUAGUUAAGACUUCGUAUUAAAAUUUUAUUUAUGCCACUAAUUUUAUUGAGACGCUCAAUUAUUUGAAUUUCCAAAUAGUAGUCUUGACAAUAUGCAUAAAAAUAUGAUAUUCUUGAUAAUUACUUUAAGUACCUGAGUAUUUCUAACUUUAUAUCAAGAGGAGUUUAGAAACGAUGCAUGCGUAAUUAUCUGUCCGAAUACAUAUGUAACUUUUUAAACCUGUAUGUAUUAGUAGUAAUUAUAUUGUCAUCCCUACAACCUUUAACCAUAAUUUAGCUAAUUGCAUGAACUGUGAUUUUUUUUUCCUUUUAUAGAAACCAUCCGCCAAGAUUUGAUCACCUUUUCGGGGGUGAAGGUUUGGUCUGGAACCCUACCUUAUGUAUUUUUUAAACAAAAGAAUAAAAGAAGGGAUCAAACAUUACCUCUCGUUACAAGGGAAUAUGAAGGAAGGGGGAAAAAACUUCAAUUUAAAGAUAGCUAAGAUAGACAAAAGACUCUAUCAUUUAUGUAAAAUGGAGAGAUAUUCAGAGUUUGAUUACACAAUUUAUUCUCAAUUUUAAAACUAAGCAGCAUCUCCCUAAAUCAAAACAAAAUGAAUGAUCAGAGAAGAUUAAAAGUCCAACAUUUUUGUUGCCAAUAAAUUAAAUAAAAUUACUUCUAAAAGUCAUAUUUUUAAUAAAUAUUAAUUUGUGAUAGUUAUUACAUAUAAUGACCACAGUAAAUAUUUUAAUUUCCUUUUUAGCAUUCAUUUUUGUUGUCAGUAAAUGUAAAUAAUUGUCUCUAGAAGGCCACUAGAUUUAACAAGUAUGGUUUAGACACUAAUGACAAUGGCUACUAAAUUCUUUUAGAAAAAUGAUCUAAGUUGCUAAUAAAUUUAAUCAAAAUGUUAGUAAAAGGGAGCCUUUUAGUGGCAGCAAAAUUUAGAAAAUGCUAAAAAAAUAAAUAUAAAUCACUAUUAAUUCAUAAAAACAUAAUAUGUCCCUUUAGCUCUAACAAACAAAAGAAAAUACUAAUCCAAAAUGUUACUGUAACAAGGUUAACAACGGUGAAAAUAAAUCUUUGACAUUUAAAAAUGCAUAUUUUCAUAAGAUGAAAAAUAUGUAUUAAUGGAACAUUUACUCAUAGUUAUCACAUUAUUUAGUGAAAUCAUACUUACGAACGUAUGUUAGUUAAAAAGGAGGAAAGUAAUAAAAAGGGCAAUAAAAAUGUAGUUCAUAUAGAAUACAUAUGCAUCCUAUUAAUACAUGAAUCAUAGUAAUUAGUUGUAAUGCAAAAAACAUUUUACAAUAAAAAUCUCUACAUAAGUUCUCAGUUAAUCCUGACAAAAAAAAUACCAAAGUCUUUCGAUGCAUGAAGAAUUAUUAUUUUCAUUUCAAAUAUUGGAAGUGCGUUAUAAUUACCUGAAUAUAUAAAUGUUUUGAAAAUUAAUACUCCAAUUUAAGAAUAUGAAUGGAGUCUCUCGAUGUCUCUAAAUACUCCUGAAUUGAAUUUCUCUAGAUACAAGUGACAGAUAUCAUUUUAUUAAAUGAUUUGAAUUUAAAUUAAAUAAAUCCAUAUUGUUAACUUUUUAAUACUAACAGUAUAUAAAAUAUAAACUCAAAAAAUAAGGGUGCAAAACUACAAAGUUAUAAAUGCACAAUAAUGCCAAUAACUUAAAUCUGAAAUAUGUGAAAUUUAUGAAAAAAAAUAUAGAAAAAGUUACAUGAAUUGUCAAACAUAGAUAUUUUUGCGACAAUUAAUUUAUAAAAAAGAUUACACAGGAUAAAGAGAAUACGUGAGAGAUUCGAACAAACAUUAAUGAUAAUUCAACCCUCGAGAAAUUCAAUGGCCACACUUUGGAUGGAGAUCACAUCUCCACCGUUUUUAGGAACCACAGUUACCGUAAUGGUAUCAUCGUCUUCAAGUCCAAUGUCCUCUAAAAGUUUGGUAAUGUCUAGCUGAAACGUCUCACCAUAAUCCAUUUUCUUAUUAUGUGCAUGAACAUGGGGCAAGUUGGCAUAGCUCCCCGCGAACUCCACCUUAUCAAGCUCAUUUGUAUAAUUGUAUUCACGUUCUCUUCCUCGUUGAGGAACACAUCAAAACUUAUAUAUUUGCUAGUAUCAUACUUUAAACCCUUGAAUAUUAGCACCUCUUCUUUUUCGUCUUUAUCCUUUUGACUCCUUGACGUAGUUGGCCUAUUGAUGGAAAACGAAAUGGGUUUGUUGAGGUUAGCAAUUGGGAAUACCUUGUUUGCUGGCUCAAUGUUUGUUAAAUCCACUUUUCCUUCUCUCCCCUUUCUUGUUGGCCUACAGUUGAUCCAUGGGAGGGCUGCUGGCACGUAAUCAUAACCCAUCUUCUUCGUAUCCAAACAGUCUCCCACUCUCACACGGUAAGGCCUUUGGUGUUCAUCGUAGAAAAAGAAUUCGGAGUUCAACCAAUCUGUGUCUGUGAUAUCCCUUUUUUUCCCGCCUAAUCCUUUCCAUAUAUUCCACAU
rnacentral:lncRNA from 1 species